rnacentral:rRNA from 1 species
AUUGAACGCUGGCGGCAUGCCUUACACAUGCAAGUCGAACGGCAGCGCGGGAGCAAUCCUGGCGGCGAGUGGCGAACGGGUGAGUAAUAUAUCGGAACGUGCCCAUUAGUGGGGGAUAGCCUGGCGAAAGCCGGAUUAAUACCGCAUACGACCUGAGGGUGAAAGCGGGGGAUCGCAAGACCUCGCGCUAUUGGAGCGGCCUAUAUCAGAUUAGCUAGUUGGUGGGGUGAAGGCCUACCAAGGUAACGAUCUGUAGUUGGUCUGAGAGGACGACCAGCCACACUGGGACUGAGACACGGCCCAGACUCCUACGGGGGGCAGCAGUGGGGAAUUUUGGACAAUGGGCGCAAGCCUGAUCCAGCAAUGCCGCGUGCAGGAAGAAGGCCUUCGGGUUGUAAACUGCUUUUGUCAGGGAAGAAAUCCUUUGGGCUAAUACCUCGGAGGGAUGACGGUGCCUGAAGAAUAAGCACCGGCUAACUACGUGCCAGCCGCCGCCGUAA